UGGAUAACAGGUUGAGAUUCCUGUACUGGUUAAACUUGUUUGAACAAUGGAGGGACGCAGGAGGCUAUCGAUGCGUACUGUUGGAUAUGUACGUUCAAGCAACAAGUCUGUAGAUGAGUUAAAUGCUUAUCUACUUAAGGACAAGUUGUGAUGAGGAGCGAAAUUUAGUAGCGAAGUGAGAGACGUCACACUGCCAAGAAAAGCUUCUAGUUAGAGUUUAAU
rnacentral:rRNA from 1 species